rnacentral:misc_RNA from 1 species
GUAUUAAUCUAGAACAAAUGGAGAGCUUUGGCUGGUUGUUCAAUUGAAUAUUUUGCAUGUUUGGGAACUUGAAAGAGAUUAAAAUAGCGAAAUGAAUUGAUUUGGAUUAGCGUUGCUUCGUUUGUUGUUGCUUGUAUGUUCCUCUGUUUUUAUUUGAGAAUGAUUUUUAUUCUCUGUUAUUAUUCCUGAUCUGAUAAACUCUCGAGGCCGUUCUGCAUAUAAUGUUGUUUCUUC